rnacentral:lncRNA from 1 species
CCCAAAAAAAAACAAAAGAAGAAAUAUUCACGACAACAAAACCAUUCGCUUUGUCAAGUUUUGUCACCAAUCUGAAUCAGUGAAUCCUCUUUACAAGAUCCCGUUACAAAAAAAAAAAAUCUUGAAGACAGCGUCUAACGUAAGAGUUCCAGAGUUACAAAAAAAAAAAGAAAACGCUCUUCAGAAGAAGAAGAUGAAGAGGUUCCGUUGAAGUUGAACGACGACGCUGUUGCGGUCUUUGUCUGUGAAACGGCGUUACUCGGUUGGAAUAAUGAAUGUCCAAACUCUUUCUCCGUUGUAACGAAGUGAGUCCUUUUGUUUAUUAAUUUAUACGUCCAAUUUCGUUGCCUCAUUUAGUUUAUUUCUAUUUUUUUUUAAUUUCAACUUGUGGUGUUGUCGUGUCAUGUGUGUCGCUUGUGUGUUGUCUAUUCCCACCAGACACAAGAAACAAGCCUAUUUCAGUGGCUGUGUGACUUGUGUGUGUUAGUUGUUACUAGACAUGCUUGUUU